UCCGCCAGUCACACUCAGCUCCGUGCACAAUCUCAAGAGGCAGAAGUCCAGGCCCAGUGGCGGCUGAUGUGUGGGGAACCCUUCUCUUCUUCCAGAGCAUCAGGAAGAGCCUCUAGGGACUUUCCUGCCCCUAAGACCAGGUGGGAAACCAGGACCACUUCACCCACUGCCUCAGGCCAGUGAGCCCAGCCCGCCCCUCCAUAGCCUGGACUCCCUCUCCCCAGCAGGGUCAGAUGCCCCCCCUCCAGCCCACGCCUGCAGGGUGUGGGGUCCACAGAACACAGGAGCGGUCCGUGAACUGGAACGCGCUGCUGUGUGCUGAAGGAGCCCCUGAAUGCCCACAUCCUGGGUGCUAACUGUGGUCACCCUCAUCCUCUCCCUGCCAGCCCCGCCCUCCCAGGCGGACCAGUGUUCUCCUUGGCAACGCCUGGAGCCAAGCUGGAAGCUCAGCCUAUAAGCAUCUGUCGAAUGACUGGCCUCUGCCAAAAGCCCUGUCACAGCUCUCAGGGAUUCUGACAUCAUGACAUGGUGUCACGGGGACCAGGCCUGGAUGGGAAAAGGCCUCAGUUCACAGAAGACAGCACAACCUCAGAUUGACGGGUCGCACCAUGAACAUAGCCGCCUGACCAGGAGCGCCCUCUGUGCGGGGCGGGCAGUGGAGGAGUGUGGACUCCCAGCUCCGGAUCUUCC
rnacentral:lncRNA from 1 species